GAAAAAUUUUAAUUUUCUAUUAAAUCUACUUUUUUCCUGGGAGCCUAAUGUUUUUUUCUCUGUGUUGUUUUUUUUAACUCAAAAAAUGAGUUUGAUUCUUGCUUUUAAGUUAAUUUAUUAAUUCAAUUAUAUGUAUAAUUUUAAAAAAUUUAAUUUCAGUAAUUAAUAUUCAUUAAAUUUAAUUUUUCUUGGGGAAUUUAAUUUAGGUUAGAUAAAAAUUGUGCCAGCAUUCGCGGUUAUACAUUUUAAUUGAAUUAAUUUUAUUUUUUUUAAUUAAUUUUAUUUAGGUGAAUUUGUUUAUUUAAUAUUUAAGUGAAAUUUAUAUUUUAUUUUUUUCAUUAUUUAUUUUUAAUAAGCUUUUAUUUUAAACUAGGAUUAGAUACCCUAUUAUUUAUUGUUUAAUUUUUAUUUGAUUAUUAACAAUUAUAUUUUGUGAAAUUUAAAGAAUUUGGCGGUAACUUUUAAUUAGGGGAACCUGUUUUUUAAUCGAUAAACCACGAUAGUUUAAAUCUUUUUUUUAUUUGUAUAUCUCUAUAAUUUGGAAUGUUUUCUUAGGAUAUUUUCUUUUAUUUAUUUAAUUUUAUAUUAGGUCAAGGUGCAGUUUUAGAAAGGUAAUUAUGGGUUACUUUAUUUUUAACUAAUUUAGGAUUUAUUUAUUUAUUUUUUUAAUGAAAUAGGAUUUAAUAGUAAUUUUAUUUAAUUAUUUAUUUUGAAUUUUAUAUUAAGUUAUGUACAUAUCGCCCGUCACUCCUAUUUUUAGGAUAAGUCGUAACAAAGUAAGUUUACUGGAAAGUAAAGUUAGAAAGAAU
rnacentral:ncRNA from 1 species